rnacentral:rRNA from 1 species
AGAGUUUGAUCCUGGCUCAGGAUGAACGCUGGCGGCGUGCUUAACACAUGCAAGUCGAACGAUGAUGGGAGCUUGCUCCUGGAUUAGUGGCGAACGGGUGAGUAACACGUGAGUAACCUGCCCUUAACUCUGGGAUAAGCCUGGGAAACUGGGUCUAAUACCGGAUAUGACUCCUCAUCGCAUGGUGGGGGGUGGAAAGCUUUWUUGUGGUUUUGGAUGGACUCGCGGCCUAUCAGCUUGUUGGUGAGGUAAUGGCUUACCAAGGCGACGACGGGUAGCCGGCCUGAGAGGGUGACCGGCCACACUGGGACUGAGACACGGCCCAGACUCCUACGGGAGGCAGCAGUGGGGAAUAUUGCACAAUGGGCGCAAGCCUGAUGCAGCGACGCCGCGUGAGGGAUGACGGCCUUCGGGUUGUAAACCUCUUUCAGUAGGGAAGAAGCGAAAGUGACGGUACCUGCAGAAGAAGCGCCGGCUAACUACGUGCCAGCAGCCGCGGUAAUACGUAGGGCGCAAGCGUUAUCCGGAAUUAUUGGGCGUAAAGAGCUCGUAGGCGGUUUGUCGCGUCUGCCGUGAAAGUCCGGGGCUCAACUCCGGAUCUGCGGUGGGUACGGGCAGACUAGAGUGAUGUAGGGGAGACUGGAAUUCCUGGUGUAGCGGUGAAAUGCGCAGAUAUCAGGAGGAACACCGAUGGCGAAGGCAGGUCUCUGGGCAUUAACUGACGCUGAGGAGCGAAAGCAUGGGGAGCGAACAGGAUUAGAUACCCUGGUAGUCC